GAUGAACGCUGGCGGCGUGCCUAAUACAUGCAAGUCGAGCGAACGGACGAGAAGCUUGCUUCUCUGAUGUUAGCGGCGGACGGGUGAGUAACACGUGGAUAACCUACCUAUAAGACUGGGAUAACUUCGGGAAACCGUAGCUAAUACCGGAUAAUAUUUUGAAACGCAUGGUUCAACAGUGAAAGCCGGUCUUGCUGUCACUUAUAGAUGGAUCCGCGCUGCAGUAGCUAGUUGGUAAGGUAACGGCUUACCAAGGCAACGAUGCAUAGCCGACCUGAGAGGAUGAUCGGCCACACUGGAACUGAGACACGGUCCAGACUCCUACGGGAGGCAGCAGUAGGGAAUUUUCCGCAAUGGGCGAAAGCCUGACGGAGCAACGCCGCGUGAGUGAUGAAGGUCUUCGGAUCGUAAAACUCUGUUAUUAGGGAAGAACAUAUGUGUACGUAACUGUGCACAUCUUGACGGUACCUAAUCAGAAAGCCACGGCUAACUACGUG
rnacentral:rRNA from 1 species